AGGUGAUACAGGUGAGAGUGCACAGGUGAGAGUGUACAGGUGAUACAGGUGAGAGUGUACAGGUGAGAGUGUACAGGUGAUACAGGUGAGAGUGUACAGGUGAGAGUGUACAGGUGAUACAGGUGAGAGUGUACAGGUGAGAGUGUACAGGUGAUACAGGUGAGAGUGUACAGGUGAGAGUGUACAGGUGAUACAGGUGAGAGUGUACAGGUGAGAGUGUACAGGU